AACGAACGCUGGCGGCAGGCCUAACACAUGCAAGUCGAGCGCCCGCAAGGGAGGCGGCGGACGGGUGGAGUAACACGUGGGAAGUUUUCCUUCAAGGUACGGGAACAAACUCAGGGAAACGUUAGGGCGUAAUAACCGUAUGAUGCAGAGAUGCCAAAGAAUUUAUCGCCUUGGGAGUAAGCCCGCGUCAGAUUAGGUAGUUGGUGAGGUAACGGGCUCACCAAGCCUGUGAUCUGUAGCUGGCUGAGAGGACGAUCAGCC
rnacentral:rRNA from 1 species